CACAGGAAGAGAUUAAGCUGUAAUUCAGAGGAUAACUAGACUGAAAUUACUCUGGGCGUCUCUGCCUGUGCACUGGAGAAGGACUUUGGGACUGAGGCAAGAAGGCUGCAGUGGAAACAAGGAGGCUUAGAGACAGCUAAAUGGAUGCAGAGUCUGAGGUUGGGAGGAGACGGGAACUAAGGAUGGGGUUCUCUUCCUCUUACCCCCAGCACUGAAGUCUUUGCCUUUGGGCAAGGAGAGAAGUAAGAGUGGGCUUCAGGGAGAAGGGGUGGGGAGAGCUAGGCUGAGGCAGAAUCUGACGGAAGGACGACAGUGAGGAAGGGAAGUAAAGGACGACAAAUGAUUAAAGGCAAGAGAGAAGGGAUUCAUUCAGCUGGAUGAGGCAGGUGUGUGUAAAAGUGAGUGAGGGCCUCAGGCUUCGACCAAGGAACCGACUUUUAGUGUAAUGGUUUCAAGCUGUGCUACUGUAAAUCCCAGAUGAAAAAGAACAAUAGAGUGUUUGUGCCAGGACAGAAAUAUUGGAGAGGGAGCAGCACUCCCUAGUGGCCAGCAUGGUGUUGGCGGAGCCGAUGAGCGAGAGUUGAAGGGAAGAGAAGAUGAAAUCUGAACGCCUACCGUGCGUUAACAGGGCCACCUGCCCGUUUGCAAGUGAAGCAUCUUCAUCCACCGCUUCCUGCAUCUUGGGGAAUGCAAAGUUGAUGUUUUGAAGGAAGAUGGUGUGUUUGUUGCUGCCUUCAACUUCAAUUUUGUAACUGCCCCAUAAUCUUAUGCUCAUAACCUGAAAUUUUAACUCUACAAUGUUAAGAAAUUUCUUUGCCCAGGAAACAACGUGGUCUGACAACAGAGGUUUCUGAUGAGCUGACAGUACAGAGGAGUGGAUUCGUGGCUUCCAUAGAUUCCAUGUUUUCCAUUUCAGCCAUUGGUGAGAGACUUCUGAAGACUGGCGGCUUCUGACAACCUGCUCUUUUCUUGAGACACAAAUGUGAUUUGUGGAGGCCAGAAAUCAGAAAUUAAAGUGUGACCAGGCUCGGUUCCUUCUGGAAGCCCUGAGGGAGAACCUGUUCCAUGCCUCUCUCCCAGCUUCUGGGGACAGUGGGCAAUCCUUGUGUUCUUUGGCUUGCAGACACAUCAUUCCAGUCUCUGCGUUUGUCUUCAAAUGGCAUUCUCCUGUGUGUCUAUGUUUGUAUGUCUCAAAUCUCCCUCUCCUUUCUCCCAUAAGGAUACCAGUCAUUGGAUUUAGGGCCCACCCUAAAUCCAGGAUGAUCUCACCUCAAGAUCCUUAACUUAAUUACAUCUACAAAACCCCUAUUUCCAAGUAAGGUUGAAUUCAUAGAUACUGGGAGUUACAAUUUGGACAUAUGUUUUUGGGGGACACAGUUCAAC
rnacentral:lncRNA from 1 species